CACUCACCAUGGAGAUUGGGCUCAGCUGGGUUUUCCUUGUUGCUAUUUUAAGAGGUGUCCAGUGUGAUGUGCAACUGGUGGAGUCUGGAGGAGGUUUGGUGCAGCCUGGGGGGUCUCUGAGACUCUCCUGUGUAGCCUCUGGAUUCACCUUCAGUAACUAUGGAAUGAAUUGGGUCCGCCAGGCUCCAGGGAAGGGGCUGGAGAGGGUGUCACAGAUUAAUAGUAAUGGUGGUAACACAUACUACGCCAACUCUGUGAAGGGCCGAUUCACCAUCUCCAGAGACAACGCCAAGAACGAGCUCUACAUGCAAAUGAACAGCCUGAGAGGCGAAGACACGACCGUCUAUUACUGUGCGAGAGACACAUUGAAUCAUCAAAUCUUCAUGAUCCACAUCAGUUACAUCCAACCAGAGGUUCUGCUGGACCCAGCACUGCAGCCCAGCCCCACACACCUCAGAGUCCAAGCAGGCCAGGAGCAGGGCAUGUGCUUGCUGGACCGUGGGCACCAGAGGCAUGUGAACCCAAUGCCAGAGGACAAGGGUCCCAGUGUUGAAGGUCAUUGA